GAUGAAGAACGUAGUGAAAUGCGAUAAGUAAUGUGAAUUGCAGAAUUCAGUGAAUCAUCGAAUCUUUGAACGCACAUUGCGCCCGCCAGUAUUCUGGCGGGCAUGCCUGUUCGAGCGUCAUUACAACCCUCAGGCCCCCGGGCCUGGCGUUGGGGAUCGGCGGAAGCCCCCUGCGGGCACAACGCCGUCCCCCAAAUACAGUGGCGGUCCCGCCGCAGCUUCCAUUGCGUAGUAGCUAACACCUCGCAACUGGAGAGCGGCGCGGCCACGCCGUAAAACACCCAACUUCUGAAUGUUGACCUCGAAUCAGGUAGGAAUACCCGCUGAACUUAAGCAUAUCAAUAAGCGGGA
rnacentral:misc_RNA from 1 species